GAUGAACGCUGGCGGCGUGCCUAAUACAUGCAAGUCGAGCGAACGGACGAGAAGCUUGCUUCUCUGAUGUUAGCGGCGGACGGGUGAGUAACACGUGGAUAACCUACCUAUAAGACUGGGAUAACUUCGGGAAACCGGAGCUAAUACCGGAUGAUAUUUUGAACCGCAUGGUUCAAAAGUGAAAGACGGUCUUGCUGUCACUUAUAGAUGGAUCCGCGCUGCAUUAGCUAGUUGGUAAGGUAACGGCUUACCAAGGCAACGAUGCAUAGCCGACCCGAGAGGGUGAUCGGCCACACUGGAACUGAGACACGGUCCAGACUCCUACGGGAGGCAGCAGUAGGGAAUCUUCCGCAAUGGGCGAAAGCCUGACGGAGCAACGCCGCGUGAGUGAUGAAGGUCUUCGGAUCGUAAAACUCUGUUAUUAGGGAAGAACAUAUGUGUAAGUAACUGUGCACAUCUUGACGGUACCUAAUCAGAAAGCCACGGCUAACUACGUG
rnacentral:rRNA from 1 species